AAAAUUCUCAUAUAUAGUAUUUAACCUAAAUUAUUUUGUAUGUAAUUCAUUUUAAAAUUUUUAUAUACUAUUUAUUUUUAGGUUCUUAUACAUUAUCCAUUUGAAAACCCUUUUUAUAUUCUUUCUUUGUAAUUUUUCCAUUUGUUGUUAUUCAUUUCGAAAUUAUUCGUAUAUAUUAUUUUGUUUCAUUCUUUUGCAAUUAUUAAUGUCGAUCUCUUAAAAUGGUGUGCUUUGUGAAUAUUUAAUUCAUGUAUUAUUAUUGUAAUUUGUUUGUUAAGAUUAUUAUGGCUAUUAUAGUAUAUGUCGAAACCAUUUUUAAAUCGUGUUUUGGAAAAUAGGAAUCGACUUUAAGAAAAAUGAAAACGGGAGUCGCCACCAACCUUUUUAGGUGUGAUUGGAUCACCUUUUAAAAUAUUUUGUUUAAAAAUCACUAGUUUUGGUCUACGAAAUCAGAAAAUGGGUUCGGGAGCCGGUUACGUACGAGGAAGGGUUAGCACCCUCGUAACGCCCAAAAAUUGGUACCUAAUUGAUUAUCAAAAUGUCUUUAAUGUCGGAAAUUUAAAAAAUUUAAGAUGCAAUCCUUUUUUUUAAAUAUUUUUUACUUUGAAAAUUAAGGUUCACUUGUAUCAAAUGAAUUAAAAUAUUACAUCCAAUAAGUUAGGACACAAUAUUUUAAAGACAUUUGACACUAAGUUAGUCCUUUUGGAAAUCCCUAUCUCGAAACAACGAAACGUCAUAUCCAGUAAGUUAGGACACAACGCUUUGAAAUUCCAAGAUAGUUGCUUGCAUUUUGAAAACCUUAAAAACUUAGAAGGGUGCUUGAUUAUUUGAACUCAACGAGGAAAGUUGCAACCCAGUAAGUUAGGGCACUACUUUUCUUGAAACUUUCAAACACCAAGCAUUGCCUUUAUUUUUUGAAAACUUUAGAGUCUUGUUUUUAAAACCGAUGCAUGAAGGAGCAUAUACGAGAUAACAUGCUAUAAUAAUAGGUAAAUAAAAGCACAAUAGCAUAAAUAUCAUACAUUAACUAACAUAUAUAUAUAAGAAAUAAAACAUGGCAAAUUUUAAAUAAGUAAAAUAUAAAAAAACAAUAUAUAUAUUUAAGAAGAAUAGGUAAAAACACAUAAACAUGUAAUUCAACAUAUAUUUAAACAUAUUAAUAAAAAAUGAUGCAUGAUAUACAAUUUAACAUAAACAUUCUUAAAAUAAUAUCAACAUACAUGUCAAUUCUAAAAUAUGAC
rnacentral:lncRNA from 1 species